GAUUAACGCUGGCGGCGUGCAUAACACAUGCAAGUCGAACGAUGAAACUUUAAUGAACCCUUCGGGGAGAAUUAAAGCGGAUUAGUGGCGAACGGGUGAGUAACGCGUGAGUAACCUGCCUUACACAAGGGGAUAGCCUUUGGAAACGAAGAAUAAUACCCUAUAAAACCAUACAAGCACAUGCAAUUAUGGUCAAAGUGAUAGCGGUGUAAGAUGGACUUGCGUCUGAUUAGCUAGUUGGUGAGAUAAAAGCCCACCAAGGCAACGAUCAGUAGCCGGCUUGAGAGAGUGUACGGCCACAUUGGGACUGAGACACGGCCCAGACUCCUACGGGAGGCAGCAGUGGGGAAUUUUGCACAAUGGGGGAAACCCUGAUGCAGCGACGCCGCGUGAUUUAGAGGGCCUUCGGGUUGUAAAAAUCUUUUGUAUAGGAAGAAAAUGACAGUACUAUACGAAUAAGGUCCGGCUAAUUACGUG
rnacentral:rRNA from 1 species